AGCUAAUUGGACGUUUAUCAUUUUCAUCUUCAAGUCUGGAUUCUAAUUGAAGUGGGAGGGAACUAGCAGUGAGUGAUAUCUGCAUUCAAAAAAAAUGUCCCAUUCAACUUUUGAUGCUUAAAAGAACCUAAACAUAAUUAGUUCACAUAGUUUACUGGAGAGAGAAAGACAGAAGAUAUGUGAGAAGAAGAUACAUUAAUAUUAACGAAAGGUCAAAUAGUAUAAACUGGCAAUGAGAGUUAAGAACAAGAUAUAUAUUCAUUUCAUAAUAGGAGAUGCUACAGUACACAAUGCAAACUGUGUGACAGAAUAUUAAUGGAAAAGUGACAAAACUGCAAAUAUACAGAUUAAAAGUUAUCACAAAGAAGAGAGAUAAAUUAUUGUUGAAUUGAAGAUCUAAGCAGAGGGCAUUAUUUCGAGGAGAUUUUAAGUUAUUGAACCUCAAGAAAAAAAAUCAG